rnacentral:tRNA from 1 species
GCUCCAUUAGCUCAGCCGGCAGAGCACUCGACUUUUAAUCGAGCGGCCGUGAGUUCGAAUCUCACAUGGGGCA